UACAGAGGGGGCAAGCGUUGUUCGGAAUUACUGGGCGUAAAGGGCGCGUAGGCGGCCUUCUAAGUCGAACGUGAAAUCCCCGGGCUCAACCCGGGAACUGCGUCCGAUACUGGAAGGCUUGAAUCCGGGAGAGGGAUGCGGAAUUCCAGGUGUAGCGGUGAAAUGCGUAGAUAUCGGAAGGAACGCCGGUGGCGAAAGCGGCGUGCUGGACCUUUGCUGACGCUGAUGCGCGAAAGCCAGGGGAGCGGAACGGG
rnacentral:rRNA from 1 species